CUCGUUCUCUGCACAUCGCGCCCGAACCCAAGCUUUCCUCCCGAUUCCCCUCUUCACCGUGCCCUAGCCAUGUCUCUCCCUCUCUCGUUCUCGCGGUUGUGAUCGCACUGACCACCAUCUACGUCGCUAUUGCCCUAGAUUGCGGACUGACGCCUGACAUCGUCGCGCCUCCUCGUCGACUAUGGAGUUGUCUUCCUCUCUUGGCCACAAGCACCAGGUGCUCGCCGGGAGCCGAGCGCGCGAGUCUGUGAUAGAGGUAGGUUUCCUGAGUUUUUUUUUCUGAUUCCAUCGUUUGUCGAUCUCCUUCCGUGCCCUGUUUCCUCCUCAAACACACCACCGGAUUGUCAUUGCAUCGCCCACCUCCCCUCGCGUUCCCGACGAUCUCCUUUCUCUGCAUUUCCUCGUCGGCCAUCCUCUUUCAUUUGCGUUUCAUGGGUCGGUCAUCCUCUUUCGGCCUCAAGAAGGUAUGAAGUGUUUCCCUUUCUUGUCCGAUUUCUGUCGUAGUAUGCCACCAGAUUGACAUGUGAGGGCAACUGGACAGAACGAGGCUUCGUGCCCAAGCGUGGAGGUCAUUGUAACUUUGGCUAGCACUGUUCGCCGGCGAACUACAGUUCUAGACAUCCUGUUCCAGAAGUGAACCUUUCCAGCAGUGAAUCAAUGAAGGAGAAGUCCAGGUUGGAUAAGUUGUGCUAUAAAUUGAUUACAUUAUGUAAUGAAUUAGAUUAAGGGAUUAAUUGAGAUGUGGAUUAAUUUGAAGGUUGUAGUUGGUUGUUCUUGUUAGGUUGAUGUGAUUUAUAUUUGGUUUAGGGGAGUUUUUGGGAGGAAUCAUGUAUAAACCUAAUCUAAUUAGGUUGUAGUAUGGGUAAGGUUGAUUGGGGGAUUGUUGGAGAAGCUUGGCUAUAGGGUAUGCAGGUGAUUUCAUGAUUUCGGUUUGGAUCUAUAGCUUGUUUAAAAAUUCAGAUUUGGGUCAAUUGAUUAAUAAGAUUUGGUUA